rnacentral:lncRNA from 1 species
AUAAGUUCAAUUGUUCUAACAAAAACAAGGAUUGGAAGCAAAAUCGCUCAAUGGAUAGAAUCUCUCAAAUUGUCAAAAAAGUCCAUUAUAAUGAAAAUAAUGUUCUAUUUAUAUGAAAAUCCUAAAAUCAUACAUUCAAAAUAUUAAAAAGAUCAGAAUUCUAGUAAAAAUAAGAAACUCGCAAAUAUUGCAACUUCGGUCCCCGAAUUAUUGCUAUGCAACCGCAUAGAAGAAAUCUAUGCGAUCGCAUAGAUCAAACCGUGACUGCAUCCAAAUUCCCUGCACCUCCUCAUGCGACCGCACGGUAUAUGUGCUAUGCAGUCCCAUAGCAUCUUCUUUGGCUCCACAAUCCGAUUGUUUGAAUUAUGUGGCUCCAAGUUAUUUUGGUCGUCAAUCCCUUGAUGUGACUUAACACUUAACAAAUUAACUUCACUUGCUCGGCCCUUAAUGAUUCUUGAAUAUCUCAAAUGUGGCUUUGGCUUCGUCCAAUCAAUCGUCAUAUCUUCAAUAAUUGGUGACGCAUCCCGAAUCAUAUCAAACUCAUUCAAAUUUCAGCACAUCAUCUAUUGAUAAACAUAUCUAUAAUUAUGUUAUACAUAUAACAUAAUCGUCUAAAUUUUGAUUUGGUUGAAUUUUCGUUAUUUAGACUUGAAUUUGAAACUUUAAUUUGAAGAAGACUUACUCUUCUUGAAAUUUCUGGACACAAUUUUUUUCUUCUCUUUUUACUUUAGACUUUUAUUGCACAUGAGACCAUGAAUACUUCUUGAUAGCCCAUGUUUGAAUCUUAUUUUCAAUCACACAUUUUUCAAUAAAAUAAUAUUACACCAUAUUUAAAGUUAUUUUUAUUUUUUAAAUACACAUUCUCUAACAGUCGAUUUCAAAAUGAAUUCUAAACUAAAAAAAUGGGGCUCAAACAUGGUAGCUUAAUUUUAUUUAUAUGAAUGUGAAUAAGCAGAAAAGGAAAGAACUAGGGUUUGAACUUUGGAUGAAAUUUUUAUCAUAUCAUAGUUUUGUAAAAGUAAAGACGACCCGCCAGUGAUUUGUACUGAGGUAAAUUAUUCAAUCAAGACGCUAGAAUUCACUUGAACAUAAAAUUCAGUCAUCAGUCCCAAAUAAAUUAAAAUUGAGAGAAAGAUAACAAAUAAAUGCAAAGUUUAGUAGCCAUCAGCAAAAUUAAUCCAUUUCACAAAACUUGAUAAGCUCUAAUAAAUUCUAAAUUUUGUCUAAUUCCUCCAAUUUAAAAACAUCUCAUUACACAAUUCACACCCAAUAUAUGUUAGUUUCUCUUUUCACAAAUCCCACAAUCACAUUUACCCCCAUCGAUUCAUCAAUGCAAAUUUUGUUAUUGUCUCCAUUAUUACUAAUUUACAUUAGAAAAAUUACAAUAAAAAAUAAUUAACAAAUGGAAACGUUGUUCUCCAACGUCCAAACACUCCAUGGAGGUAGCAAUCGAUAUCGAGAGGAACAAUUUCCUCUGAAGCUUCAUUUCAAAAUACCACACCGUCAUAUAAAGAUAUACAGUGUAGAUCCAAAAUUGAUGAAGCAGAAUUAAGAAAUAAAAUGUAAAGUCGGAUGAAACAACUCAGUCCCUUAGAUGUUCAUAAUGAGUUGCGAUCAUAUUCGCAGAUCAUUACAGGUCUGUAGAGAUCAUCACCGUUGUUCCAUUAACCGUAAUUAUUGUACAAUCAAAUAAAAUUUUUGUAGCCAGAGCAGCACGCUCAAAUAGUCAAAUUUAAUGGAGAAAUGUAGAUGCCCCAGCGUACUUCUAAAGCAAUGAAGAGAAAAACACCUUAGGAGACAUGUGGCAAGAGCAGCACGCUGAAUUUUGCUUCAAGGGAACGAGUCGAUCGGAAAUUGAUAUCGAUUCCGCCAACCAGAUAAAGAAGCUUCUUCACAUUUCUUUUUCAAUCGAGCGCAUAAAUUAACGAAAACAUAUUACAUAAACGGAGAAACUUAUGGGAAGAUCUGAAAGCAUACCCUAAACCCUAAUUUUAUGAUGCAAUGGAAGAAAGGAGCCGUCAGGCUACGAGUAGAUUAGGGGGAGUAACGCAAAGCUUAGUUAUAUAGAGAGGGCAAGGGAAAUCUAACGGCGUCGACGCUUCCACAGGAGAUUUGUGGCUGAGAUUUAAGAAUGAAGAAUAGGAAUGUUUAGGGUUUGAAUCUGAUUGGGAAUUUA